AUUGAACGCUGGCGGCAGGCCUAACACAUGCAAGUCGAACGAGUGGCAGACGGGUGAGUAAUGUCUGGGAAACUGCCUGAUGGAGGGGGAUAACUACUGGAAACGGUAGCUAAUACCGCAUACCAUCGGAUGUGCCCAGAUGGGAUUAGCUUGUAGGUGAGUGAACGGCUCACCUAGGCGACGAGCCCUAGCUGGUCUGAGAGGAUGACCAGCCACACUGGAACUGGAACACGGUCCAGACUCCUAGGGGAGGAAUCAGGGGGGAAUAUUGCACAAUGGGCGCAAGCCUGAUGCAGCCAUGCCGCGUGUAUGAGUAAGGCCUUCGGGUUGUAAAGGCCUUUCAGCGGGGAGGCGUUACCCGCAGAAGAAGCACCGGCUAACUCCGUGCCAGCAGCCGCGGUAAGUC
rnacentral:rRNA from 1 species